rnacentral:rRNA from 1 species
GGAAGUAAAAGUCGUAAACAAGGUCUCCGUUGGUGAACCAGCGGAGGGAUCAUUACCGAGUUAUACAACUCAUCAACCCUGUGAACAUACCUAAAACGUUGCUUCGGCGGGAACAGACGGCCCUGUAACAACGGGCCGCCCCCGCCAGAGGACCCCUAACUCUGUUUUUAUAAUGUUUUUCUGAGUAAACAAGCAAAUAAAUUAAAACUUUCAACAACGGAUCUCUUGGCUCUGGCAUCGAUGAAGAACGCAGCGAAAUGCGAUAAGUAAUGUGAAUUGCAGAAUUCAGUGAAUCAUCGAAUCUUUGAACGCACAUUGCGCCCGCCAGUAUUCUGGCGGGCAUGCCUGUUCGAGCGUCAUUGCAACCCUCAGGCCCCCGGGCCUGGCGUUGGGGAUCGGCGGAAGCCCCCUGUGGGCACACGCCGUCCCUCAAAUACAGUGGCGGUCCCGCCGCAGCUUCCAUUGCGUAGUAGCUAACACCUCGCAACUGGAGAGCGGCGCGGCCAUGCCGUAAAACACCCAACUUCUGAAUGUUGACCUCGAAUCAGGUAGGAAUACCCGCUGAACUUAAGCAUAUCAAUAAGCGGAGGAAAAGAAACCAACAGGGAUUGCCUUAGUAACG